rnacentral:rRNA from 1 species
CCUGGUUGAUCCUGCCAGUAGCAUAUGCUUGUCUCAAAGAUUAAAGCCAUGCAUGUCUAAGUACACACGGGCGGUACAGUGAAACUGCGAAAUGGCUCAUUAAAUCAGUUAUGGUUCCUUUUGGUCGCUCCCCUCCCGUUACUUGGAUAACUGUGGUAAUUCUAGAGCUAAUACAUGCCGACGAGCGCCGACCUCCGGGGACGCGUGCAUUUAUCAGACCAAAACCAACCCGGGCUCGCCCGGCGGCUUUGGUGACUCUAGAUAACCUCGAGCCGAUCGCACGCCCCCGUGGCGGCGACGACCCAUUCGAAUGUCUGCCCUAUCAACUUUCGAUGGUACUGUCUGUGCCUACCAUGGUGAUCACGGGUAACGGGGAAUCAGGGUUCGAUUCCGGAGAGGGAGCCUGAGAAACGGCUACCACAUCCAAGGAAGGCAGCAGGCGCGCAAAUUACCCACUCCCGACCCGGGGAGGUAGUGACGAAAAAUAACAAUACAGGACUCUUUCGAGGCCCUGUAAUUGGAAUGAGUCCACUUUAAAUCCUUUAACGAGGAUCCAUUGGAGGGGCAAGUCUGGUGCCAGCAGCCGCGGUAAUUCCAGCUCCAAUAGCGUAUAUUAAAGUUGCUGCAGGAGGAACUAUGCUGACCUGGACUCCAACCGAGAGGAUUUCGAUCCAGCCCCCUGUGAAGAGCAAGUUCGACUCGCUGGACUUCGACACGCUGCUGCGGCAGGCACAGCGCAGCCUGCGGAGGUAGCAGCAAGCACGGCGGAGCGCCCGCCCCCGCUUUUAUACUCAAAUACAAAAGACAAAAAAAGUAAGGAGAGAAAGAUGAGGUUUUUAAGAAAAAGAAAAAGGAAAAAAAUUUGUUUUAUAACCAAUAUUUAAGGAGGACGGGCAAUUUCCCAUCAAUUGGAAGGGCCCUAGGGGAGUGGCAGCCUCGGGCUUGCUGAGCCGUGUAAUAAACGUGGAUGCCCAAAC